GAUGAACGCUGGCGGCGUGCUUAACACAUGCAAGUCGAACGGAAAUGUAAGGAAGCCUAGCGAAUUACAUUUUAGUGGCGGACGGGUGAGUAACGCGUGGAUAACCUGCCUUAUACUAGGGGAUAACAGUUAGAAAUGACUGCUAAUACCGCAUAAGCAUACGAAACCGCAUGGUUUUGUGUGAAAAACUCCGGUGGUAUAAGAUGGAUCCGCGUCUGAUUAGCUAGUUGGUGAGGUAAUGGCUCACCAAGGCGACGAUCAGUAGCCGGCCUGAGAGGGUGAACGGCCACAUUGGGACUGAGACACGGCCCAAACUCCUACGGGAGGCAGCAGUGGGGAAUAUUGCACAAUGGGCGAAAGCCUGAUGCAGCGACGCCGCGUGAGUGGAGAAGUAUUUCGGUAUGUAAAGCUCUAUCAGCAAGGAAGAAAAUGACGGUACUUGACUAAGAAGCCCCGGCUAACUACGUGCCAGCCGCCGCCGUAACAC
rnacentral:rRNA from 1 species